UUCCGCGUGGUGUAACGGUAGCACUAGAGUUUUUGGUACUCUCAGUCGAGGUUCGAAUCCUCGCGCGGAAACCA
rnacentral:tRNA from 1 species